rnacentral:rRNA from 1 species
AACGAACGCUGGCGGCAGGCCUAACACAUGCAAGUCGAACGAGACCUUCGGGUCUAGUGGCGCACGGGUGCGUAACGCGUGGGAAUUUGCCCUUGGGUGCGGAAUAACUCUCCGAAAGGAGUGCUAAUACCGCAUAAUGACUCCGGUCCAAAGAUUUAUCGCCCAAGGAUAAGCCCGCGUCGGAUUAGCUUGUUGGUGAGGUAAAAGCUCACCAAGGCGACGAUCCGUAGCUGGUCUGAGAGGAUGAUCAGCCACACUGGGACUGAGACACGGCCCAGACUCCUACGGGAGGCAGCAGUGGGGAAUAUUGGACAAUGGGGGAAACCCUGAUCCAGCCAUGCCGCGUGAGUGAUGAAGGCCUUAGGGUUGUAAAGCUCUUUUACCAGGGAUGAUAAUGACAGUACCUGGAGAAUAAGCUCCGGCUAACUCCGUGCCAGCCGCCGCGGUAAU